rnacentral:rRNA from 1 species
AUUGAACGCUGGCGGCAGGCCUAACACAUGCAAGUCGAGCGAGCGGCGGACGGGUGAGUAAUGUAUGGGGACUGCCCGAUAGAGGGGGAUAACUACUGGAAACGGUAGCUAAUACCGCAUACUAUCGGAUAACCCAUAUGGGAUUAGCUUGUAGGUGGGGUAACGGCUCACCUAGGCGACGAUCCCUAGCUGGUCUGAGAGGAUGAUCAGCCACACUGGGACUGAGACACGGCCCAGACUCCUACGGAGGCAGCAGUGGGGAAUAUUGCACAAUGGGCGCAAGCCUGAUGCAGCCAUGCCGCGUGUAUGAAGAAGGCCUUCGGGUUGUAAAGCACUUUCAGCCGGGAGGCGUUACCGACAGAAGAAGCACCGGCUAACUCCGUGCCAGCAGCCGCGGUAAUAC